GCGCCAAGGCCUAACAUAUUGUGCAUUGUCUCUUCGUGCGCAGGGCAAAUAAAAAUCCAACAAGCAGACCUACAGUUGUGGCAGUGUCCUCAUUAAAUUACACAACGCAGAACGAACCACUCUACAUAAGCAACGUGUUGACGGUACCGAUGCACCAAGUCAAGAACCAACAGGAAACUGACCAGCUUCUACCCACAAGCCAUAAGAAAGCUAAAUAGUUAGUCCAGGUCCUGGAUACAUAGCUUGUUGAUGAGAAAGGUCGAAGGAGAAUGACAAGAAUCGUGCAAGCUAACAGGCGGGCCGCAAACAGGCAAAUAACGGCGCAGUAGAACAAUGGUGUGCAGAACAGCAUCACGCAACAUACAACUUGUUGGUUCCACUCCUAUCAGUCAAAGACUACAAGAAGUGGCUUCAGUGCAUGUGAUCACCAACACUGGACAACUGAGGGUGGAAAAGCAUUGCCUGUUCCGACGAAUCCCGUUUCAGUCAGGAUUUGCCAUAAGCAUUAUGAGUCCAUGGUCCCAUCCGGCCUAGUGUCAACUGUACAGGCUGGUGGCGGUGGUGUAAUGGUGUGGUAAAUGUUUUCCUGGCACACUUUAUGUCCCAUGAUACCAAUUGAGCAACGUUUGAACGCCACACCUUGUAGAAUCCAUGCCCCGAAUAAUUCACACUGUUCUGGAGGAAAAGGGGGGUACGACCCAGUACUAGAUGGGUGCACCUAAUAAACUGGCCACUAUAUUUUCCCCAUAGAACAACUUUAGGACUUGUUGGGCUGCCAGGAGUUGUUUGCUGUUACUGUGUGUAUGUUUAAACAGCCCUUGUCAAAAUGGAAGAAAACUGCUUUGACGUUUUUCAAGGCAAGACCCAAUUUCCAGGUUUUGAAAACAUGAUUUUGUCAUGGCAUGUUGAAUGAUCUAAAGAGAAUUCGUCAGCAUUUGUUAGGAUACAGAGACAUAAUUUUGACUUUCAUAAUUGCUUGUUCAUUGAUUCAACUUAUUUUGUACAAAGUUAAUUUCAUAUCCAUGUUGUUAUUUUCCAGUCACAGUAUGUGUAGAAAUUGGAAUGAAUUGUCAAGUGAGUCUCUGCACUUACUAUACAAUACUAUACAAAUAAAAAGUAAACUGUU